rnacentral:rRNA from 1 species
AUUGAACGCUGGCGGCAUGCUUUACACAUGCAAGUCGAACGGUAACAGGGUGCUUGCACCGCUGACGAGUGGCGAACGGGUGAGUAAUGCGUCGGAACGUGCCGAGUAGUGGGGGAUAACGCAACGAAAGUUGUGCUAAUACAGCAUACGUACUGAGGUAGAAAGUGGGGGACCGUCGGUCGUACCGCUAUCCGAGCGGCCGACGUCUGAUUAGCUAGUAGGUGAGGUAAAGGCUCACCUAGGCGACGAUCAGUAGCGGGUCUGAGAGGAUGAUCCGCCACACUGGGACUGAGACACGGCCCAGACUCCUACGGGAGGCAGCAGUGGGGAAUUUUGGACAAUGGGCGAAAGCCUGAUCCAGCCAUGCCGCGUGUCUGAAGAAGGCCUUCGGGUUGUAAAGGACUUUUGUCAGGGAGGAAAUCCCUAGUGCUAAUAACACUGGGGGAUGACAGUACCUGAAGAAUAAGCACCGGCUAACUACGUGCCAGCAGCCGCCGUAA